AUUGAACGCUGGCGGCAUGCCUUACACAUGCAAGUCGAACGGCAGCACGGGAGCAAUCCUGGUGGCGAGUGGCGAACGGGUGAGUAAUGUAUCGGAACGUGCCCAGUCGUGGGGGAUAACGCAGCGAAAGCUGUGCUAAUACCGCAUACGAUCUAUGGAUGAAAGCGGGGGAUCGCAAGACCUCGCGCGAUUGGAGCGGCCGAUAUCAGAUUAGGUAGUUGGUGGGGUAAAGGCCCACCAAGCCUGCGAUCUGUAGCUGGUCUGAGAGGACGAUCAGCCACACUGGGACUGAGACACGGCCCAGACUCCUACGGGAGGCAGCAGUGGGGAAUUUUGGACAAUGGGCGCAAGCCUGAUCCAGCAAUGCCGCGUGCAGGAUGAAGGCCUUCGGGUUGUAAACUGCUUUUGUACGAGACGAAAAGACUCGCUCUAAUACAGUGGGUACAUGACGGUAUCGUAAGAAUAAGCACCGGCUAACUACGUGCCAGCCGCCGCAGUAA
rnacentral:rRNA from 1 species